GUGGUUCAAGUCCCUUUAUCCCCA
rnacentral:tRNA from 1 species